CGAGAUUUACCUGAGCCGGAAACUGUUGGACUAGAAGACAAGAAAAGACGAAGCAACACCACCAUAAUUCUGCGUGGACAACUCAAAGAACUGCAACACUUCCGGGUCCCUUUCUACCUUCUGGUCCUCAUUUGAUGACGUCAUUUACCCAUCCAUCACCACAUCUUUCCCAGCAUCCCACUGUUUAAUUUUCAGUCCGCCUCCAUAACUUGUCCGUCUACCCAUCCUUCUGUGUCUAAUGAUUUGCUGGAAUUGUUUUGACCUCUGUUUUCUGCAGUAUACAGGGCUAAAAAAACCCCAAACCUUU